UGAAGAUACAUGCAUUGAGGUGGGAGGCUACAGCUUUCUUCAUUAAGCAGUUUGCUGGUUUGGGGUGAAAACGUGAAAGCUAAACCUUUAGUCUCCAAGUUAAUUGAACAGGGCAAGAGAAUCCACACUUACUCCAGCAAGUAAACAACUCAGUCGAAUGGUACAUGAGAUCAAAGGGACCUCAUUCAAGUGAAUCAUCACUGAAUGAUUCUGAAGUAGCCAAAGACCUGAGUGGCAAGGGCUUAAAGCAGGGGCUCCAAUUUCCAGGCCGUGGACUGGUAGGGGUCUGUGGCCAGUUUGGAACCAGACCAUACAGCAGCAGGUGAGCAUUACUGCCUGAGCUUCACCUCCUGUCAGAUCAGCUGCGGCAUGAG
rnacentral:lncRNA from 13 species